GCAAGUCGAACGGCAGCGGGGGAGGAAGCUUGCUUUCUCCUGCCGGCGACCGGCGCACGGGUGAGUAACACGUAUGCAACCUGGCCGUCACAGGUGGAUAACCGGAAGAAAUUCCGACUAAUACAGCAUAACACUCCUGAGGGACAUCCUUCGGGAGUCAAAGGAGGCGACUCUGGUGACGGAUGGGCAUGCGGCGCAUUAGGUAGUUGGUAGGGUAACGGCCUACCAAGCCGACGAUGCGUAGGGGUUCUGAGAGGAAGGUC
rnacentral:rRNA from 1 species